rnacentral:rRNA from 1 species
GGACUACUGGGGUUUCUAAUCCUGUUUGCUCCCCACGCUUUCGCGCCUCAGCGUCAAUCACGGGCCAGAUGGCCGCCUUCGCCACCGGUGUUCUUCCCAAUAUCUACGAAUUUCACCUCUACACUGGGAAUUCCGCCAUCCUCUCCCGCAUUCCAGCGCCGCAGUAUCAUGCGCAAUUCCCAGGUUGAGCCCGGGGAUUUCACGCCUGACUUACAGCACCGCCUACGCGCCCUUUACGCCCAGUAAUUCCGAACAACGCUAGCCCCCUUCGUAUUACCGCGGCUGCUGGCAC